UUUAAAUCUUCAAGUAACCAACAUCUUAGGGAGUGCAUCGGCAAGCUCUGCUUCUUGCUUUGAACCCAGAUGACCCCUGCAGCCUCUCUCUCAAGUCUAAGCAGAGAGAGAAAGUCUUGAUCUCUGGAGUGGAAGGGAACACUCUUUUUCUUCUCUUUCUCCCUCUCUCUCUCUUAAGCCACAAGUUCAGAGGCAGAUCCUCGUCAUUUGCCAGGUGAAAUCAAAGCAGGCAAUCGCAGUAGGUGAGCCGUGGCCAAACAGCUUUGAUUUCCUUUUUUUUUUUUUUCCCCUUCUAAGGCGCGCGUCCGCGCCGUUCGCCGCUCUCGUUGCACUGCCACGGCCCCGGAAAUGACAAGCGAGGGCAGAAGAAAUGGUGAAAAGGUUCGAUGGCCAGCGCGCCGCAGGAAAGGUGGUUAUUUAUGGCUGAAAGACAGAGAAGAAGAACAAUAAAAACUGUCUGCGCGAACGGAGAGCCAGCGGAAUUAUGAACAAAAACGAACAGUUUCCAUGAAAAUCCACCAUUCAUCCGUCACUCCGCUGACAGCUGGAUUACAGCACACUCCCACGGCCCUCUCCCACAGCUCUUCAUGCGCUCCUCAGCCGGGAUACACUGGGUGUGGGGUUACAGGAAUGACCGGGGGCCGCGGUGGCUCUUUCCAACGCCGGCAGCCCCGUCCUCGAGGAUCUGCGAGGACUCGCGGUGCGACAGGGUGCCGCAUCCCACCGAUAUUGCUGACGUUUCCUGCCUCAGACUUUCCAUGACGCCAUGACCGCCCGGUGGAACGGAUCGUCUUAACAGUGACACAUUGCUGUCUGAUAUUACAUAGAUUCUGUUGUUAUUGAAUUUGAACAUCCUCGCGGGGACAGGGACAAUGGGUGCAUGUGGAGGAGGUUAUGCCAAACGUGUAAAUAUGCAAAGAAAUUAAAUUGCUGUAAAUUACCAUAACUUGGGUUGUGGUGAACUCAUCUUAGCAGCACUUGCACUUGAGAAGAUGCGUUUGAAGCCAAACGCGAGGAUAAGGACGACCAAAA
rnacentral:lncRNA from 1 species